rnacentral:rRNA from 1 species
CGAACGGCAGCACGAGAGAGCUUGCUCUCUUGGUGGCGAGUGGCGGACGGGUGAGUAAUAUAUCGGAACGUGCCCAGUAGCGGGGGAUAACUACUCGAAAGAGUGGCUAAUACCGCAUACGCCCUACGGGGGAAAGGGGGGGAUCGCAAGACCUCUCACUAUUGGAGCGGCCGAUAUCGGAUUAGCUAGUUGGUGGGGUAAAGGCUCACCAAGGCAACGAUCCGUAGCUGGUUUGAGAGGACGACCAGCCACACUGGGACUGAGACACGGCCCAGACUCCUACGGGAGGCAGCAGUGGGGAAUUUUGGACAAUGGGGGAAACCCUGAUCCAGCCAUCCCGCGUGUAUGAUGAAGGCCUUCGGGUUGUAAAGUACUUUUGGCAGAGAAGAAAAGGCAUCCCCUAAUACGGGAUGCUGCUGACGGUAUCUGCAGAAUAAGCACCGGCUAACUACGUGCCAGCAGCCGCGGUAAUACGUAGGGUGCAAGCGUUAAUCGGAAUUACUGGGCGUAAAGCGUGUGUAGGCGGUUCGGAAAGAAAGAUGUGAAAUCCCAGGGCUCAACCUUGGAACUGCAUUUUUAACUGCCGAGCUAGAGUAUGUCAGAGGGGGGUAGAAUUCCACGUGUAGCAGUGAAAUGCGUAGAUAUGUGGAGGAAUACCGAUGGCGAAGGCAGCCCCCUGAUAAUACUGACGCUCAGACACGAAAGCGUGGGGAGCAAACAGGAUUAGAUACCCUGGUAGUCCACGCCCUAAACGAUGUCACUAGCUGUUGGGGCCGUUAGGCCUUAGUAGCGCAGCUAACGCGUGAAGUUGACCGCCUGGGGAGUACGGUCGCAAGAUUAAAACUCAAAGAAUUGACGGGGCCCGCACAAGCGGGGUGAUGUGGAUAUUCGAUGCACGCGAAAACUUACUACCUUGACAUGCUGGAAUGCAAAUUUGUCCAAAACACGGUGCUGCAUGGUUC